AUUGAACGCUGGCGGCAGGCCUAACACAUGCAAGUCGAGCGGAUGAAGGGAGCUUGCUCCUGGAUUCAGCGGCGGACGGGUGAGUAAUGCCUAGGAAUCUGCCUGGUAGUGGGGGAUAACGUCCGGAAACGGGCGCUAAUACCGCAUACGUCCUGAGGGAGAAAGUGGGGGAUCUUCGGACCUCACGCUAUCAGAUGCGCCUAGGUCGGAUUAGCUAGUUGGUGGGGUAAAGGCCUACCAAGGCGACGAUCCGUAACUGGUCUGAGAGGAUGAUCAGUCACACUGGAACUGAGACACGGUCCAAACUCCUACGGGAGGCAGCAGUGGGGAAUAUUGGACAAUGGGCGAAAGCCUGAUCCAGCCAUGCCGCGUGUGUGAAGAAGGUCUUCGGAUUGUAAAGCACUUUAAGUUGGGAGGAAGGGCAGUAAGUUAAUACCUUGCUGUUUUGACGUUACCAACAGAAUAAGCACCGGCUAACUUCGUG
rnacentral:rRNA from 1 species